GAUGAACGCUAGCUACAGGCUUAACACAUGCAAGUCGAGGGGAAACGAUAUUGGAAGCUUGCUUCUGAUAGGCGUCGACCGGCGCACGGGUGAGUAACGCGUAUCCAACCUGCCCAUCACUUGGGGAUAACCUUGUGAAAGUAAGACUAAUACCCAAUGACGUCUCUAGAAGACAUCUGAAAGAGAUUAAAGAUUUAUCGGUGAUGGAUGGGGAUGCGUCUGAUUAGCUUGUUGGCGGGGUAACGGCCCACCAAGGCGACGAUCAGUAGGGGUUCUGAGAGGAAGGUCCCCCACAUUGGAACUGAGACACGGUCCAAACUCCUACGGGAGGCAGCAGUGAGGAAUAUUGGUCAAUGGACGAGAGUCUGAACCAGCCAAGUAGCGUGCAGGAUGACGGCCCUAUGGGUUGUAAACUGCUUUUAUAAGGGAAUAAAGUGGGAGUCGUGACUCUUUUUGCAUGUACCUUAUGAAUAAGGACCGGCUAAUUCCGUGCCAGCAG
rnacentral:rRNA from 1 species